rnacentral:misc_RNA from 1 species
GUUUUUCGAGAAUGAUUACACGAUGGUACUGAGAUGUUCGAAAAGAAUGAAGAAACUGAGAAUAACCAACAUGUACAACUUGUAACAUAACAGCAACAUACACAACAUAUUCACAACUCAACAAAGCAGCAAAAACGCUUUCACAGAACGAAAAAAGGCCUAUAAAUAAUAAAUACAGAAAAAAAGACAAGUUCAGUAAGUUCAUUAACCUUCAACGCUGACUUCAGCUUGCACAACGAUUGGAUUUGAUGGACGUGCCACAUUGUCUUCUACACGAUUCAUUUCAGACUCAGGUUGGAUUUCAUUUCGUUCUGUUUUCUCAUCCGAAACCUUUGCUGCUUCAGCAAGUCUGGAUUUCGUUUCAGCAGGUUUCGCUUUAGUGAUCGAGGUUUUUGGAGAUUGAGCUGUUGUCUGUGAAGUCUUAACUGGCUUCCCUUUUGAUGCAACGUUAUCUUUAUUGGAUACGAGUGACUUACGUUGUUCCUUGAUCACUUUUGGACUGAAACAUGAUCCUCCACUUUCGGAGCUAUUAGUCAUGGAUGUGGAGUUCUUAGUUCUUCCAAGCUUAGGAGAUAUGGCGCGUGUUGUUGGUAUCUUCUUCAGUUCAACUGUAGGAGGGGGCUCCUUGUAGAAGCAAGGCAUCGGUGUAGCUUUAAAUGUCAAGCUCUUCCUAAACUGCUUUACCUCUGCCUCUUGGUUUUCCUUUGAUUUUGCUAGCAAGUUACUCUUUUCCUCUUCUCGGGCCUGUAUCCUCUCUUCCACCUUUGCCAAGAACUCCUUUCGCUUUUCAGCACGUUCUUCCAAUCUGAAGGAAAAUCCAGCACUGGUACGAGUUGCAUUGGAGGAAGUAGCAGAACGAGCAUCAUCAUCGUCUUUAAGAGGUGACGUAGCUUUAGUAGGUGUAAUCUUUUCAUCGUUUAAUUGUUCAGAAGUCGCUUUCUUUGCAAUUCUACCGGCUGAAGCAGACUUCCCGGACAGCGAUUGACGAAGGCUCGGGAUAGAUCCUGUAGUUGUCCUUCUGCUUGUUGUAGCACUUCCAUUUGGACUUGAACUCUUCACAACUCCAGCAGAUGUACUCUUAGUAGACGGAUUUAAACGAGAAGCUGACGAGACUGUUCCAUUCGAAUGUGAAGCCUCAUGUGUCACCCCAUUUGGUAUCCAAGGUUUAAAAUCCGAUUUCUUUGUACAAGCAUCAAUGCUCUUCCUUGUCAUGUCUGCAUUGGCGCCUCUUGUAGGGAAUGAAAGACUUUUCGCCAUACUUCCCUUUUUCGAACGAGUCAAUGAAGACGUGCCUGUUGAAUUUGCUUGAUCCUUGGCCAUUUUGUUGUUCUUUUUAGUACCACCAACUGAUACCUUAUGUUGAUUCGAUGCUCUACUUUUCGGAACAUCCUCAACAGACAAUUCUUCUUUGGCUACAGAUGAAUUUGGCGUCUCAUCCGCCUUCUCACUAAUGUUCUUUAAAUUCACAUUUUCUUCCUCAGCCACAACAAUCUUUUCCACCUCUACUGGAACUCCAUUUUCAGACUCCAUAUACCAACAAUAUCUUUUUUUUUUUUUUUCUUGUCUUGGAGAUGAUUGGUGGCAAAUUAUGUGAAUUCAAAAUGAUAAUACAAUGGAAU